rnacentral:rRNA from 1 species
GACGAACCACCCAAACGUUAUUCGGAAUUACUGGGCUUAAAGGGUGCGUAGGCUGCGCUGUAAGUCGGGUGUGAAAUCCCUCAGCUUAACUGAGGAAUUGCGCCCGAUACUGCCGUGCUCGAGGGAGAUAGGGGUCAGCGGAACUGAUGGUGGAGCGGUGAAAUGUGUUGAUAUCAUCAGGAACACCGGUGGCGAAAGCGGCUGACUGGAUCUCUUCUGACGCUGAGGCACGAAAGCUAGGGGAGCGAACGGG